rnacentral:rRNA from 1 species
CCUACGGGUGGCAGCAGUAGGGAAUAUUGCUCAAUGGGGGAAACCCUGAAGCAGCAACGCCGCGUGGAGGAUGAAGGUUUUAGGAUUGUAAACUCCUUUUGUGAGAGAAGAUAAUGACGGUAUCUAACGAAUAAGCACCGGCUAACUCCGUGCCAGCAGCCGCGGUAAUACGGAGGGUGCAAGCGUUACUCGGAAUCACUGGGCGUAAAGAGCGCGUAGGCGGGAUAGCAAGUCAGAUGUGAAAUCCUAGGGCUUAACCAUAGAACUGCAUUUGAAACUGUUAUGCUAGAGUAUGGGAGGGGUAGGUGGAAUUCUUGGUGUAGGGGUAAAAUCCGUAGAGAUCAAGAGGAAUACUCAUUGCGAAGGCGACCUGCUAGAACAUGACUGACGCUGAUGCGCGAAGGCGUGGGGAGCAAACAGGAUUAGAUACCCCGGUAGUC